GUGUUCACAGUUAAUAGUAACCAGCUCCUUCAGUAUUUCCAGGCAGACAGAACAGAACUGGUCCUGGUCUAGCAGAACUCCCAGUUGAGACAUGUAAACUGUUGUUCACUCGCAAACAGACAGACACAGAGACUCAGAUCAGUUUUGUUUGCUCAGAAGAGAGUUUGUGGGAGGGGGAGGGACUUCCUGGUUCUGCAAAAGGAGUAGGGUUAAAGGGAGCGAGUGAGGGAGGUAAGGGAGAGCGAGAGAACGGCAUGCAUCUUCAAGAGAGGACAGAGAUGUGUUCCUAGGUUAGGCCCCUAAAUAUGGAAACAAUCAAAUAAUGAACCUUCUCAAAUAGUUGUGACUGAACGACGACAAUAUCAACAUACAGCUGGCUGGUUAGAAGAUAGAGCAGCGGCAUCUGAUCUACAGAUGAUGCAAUCUCUAUUGACCUCCACACUGCCCUCAAAGCUCAUCAAUAAGCUAAGGAUGCUGGGACUAAAAACCUCCCCCUGCAACUGGAUUCUGGACUUCCUGAUGGGCCGCCCCCAGGUGUUAAGGCACAUCCUUCUACACACAGAAGCAGCCACUCACCAGAGCCCUUCUAUGAUGCCGGCACACAGAAGGGCACUGCCCAGCCCCUGGACCAGAUUGAGCAGGGACAGAAUGGCAGCGUACACAUAAAAACUCUUCUUAGCUGUGGAGGGAGGGGACCAAGAGGAAACAAGAGGUGUGCAUUACCUCUGCAGCUGUAGAAUCUACUGCAGACCAAUCCUAAAAACUAGAUACUGUGCAUUUGAACAUUGUUCUCUGGAUGGCGAAACAAUCAAUUAAACAAUUCUGAAUGUGAAUAUAUGUCAAUAGAUUUUUUGAUUCAUUAUCAUCAAUGACAACAUUCUAGAACUGAGUUACCACUCAUCCAUGUCUGGUAUCCAGGGUAAUCUGGUUAAUGAUUAUAUAAUGUUGAUUAUGUGGCUCUUUCCUUGUAGAAUGUUGACAGCUGUAUAGAA